rnacentral:rRNA from 1 species
ACUUGCUUUCUUUGCCGGCGACCGGCGCACGGGUGAGUAACACGUAUCCAACCUGCCCUUUACUCGGGGAUAGCCUUUCGAAAGAAAGAUUAAUACCCGAUGGCAUAAUGAUUCCGCAUGGUUUCAUUAUUAAAGGAUUCCGGUAAAGGAUGGGGAUGCGUUCCAUUAGGUUGUUGGUGAGGUAACGGCCCACCAAGCCUUCGAUGGAUAGGGGUUCUGAGAGGAAGGUCCCCACAUUGGAACUGAGACACGGUCCAAACUCCUACGGGAGGCAGCAUG